GACAGAGGGUGCAAACGUUGCUCGGAAUACUGGGCGUAAAGCGUGCGCAGGCGGUGAUGUAAGACAGUUGUGAAAUCCCCGGGCUCAACCUGGGAACUGCAUCUGUGACUGCAUCGCUGGAGUGCGGCAGAGGGGGAUGGAAUUCCGCGUGUAGCAGUGAAAUGCGUAGAUAUGCGGAGGAACACCGAUGGCGAAGGCAAUCCCCUGGGCCUGCACUGACGCUCAUGCACGAAAGCGUGGGGAGCAACAGG
rnacentral:rRNA from 1 species